rnacentral:rRNA from 1 species
UACGUAGGGACCAAGCGUUGUUCGGAUUUACUGGGCGUAAAGGGCGCGUAGGCGGCAAUUCAAGUCAUCUGUGAAAUCUCCGGGCUUAACUCGGAACGGUCAGAUGAUACUGCUUUGCUAGAGUGCGGAAGGGGCAAUCGGAAUUCUUGGUGUAGCGGUGAAAUGCGUAGAUAUCAAGAGGAAUACCUGAGGUGAAGACGGGUUGCUAGGCCGACACUGACGCUGAAGCGCGAAAGCCAGGGGAGCAAACGGG